ACAUACUAAGAACUUUCCAGAGAUGGAUUGGUGCCUUCGGGAACUUAGAUACAGGUGCUGCAUGGCUGUCGUCAGCUCGUGUCGUGAGAUGUUGGGUUAAGUCCCGCAACGAGCGCAACCCUUUUCCUUAUUUGCCAGCGGGUCAUGCCGGGAACUUUAAGGAUACUGCCAGUGACAAACUGGAGGAAGGCGGGGACGACGUCAAGUCAUCAUGGCCCUUACGGCCAGGGCUACACACGUGCUACAAUGGUCGGUACAAAGGGUUGCUACCUCGCGAGAGGAUGCUAAUCUCAAAAAGCCGAUCGUAGUCCGGAUCGCAGUCUGCAACUCGACUGCGUGAAGUCGGAAUCGCUAGUAAUCGCGGAUCAGAAUGCCGCGGUGAAUACGUUCCCGGGCCUUGUACACACCGCCCGUCACACCAUGGGAGUUUGUUGCACCAGAAGUAGGUAGUCUAACCGCAAGGAGGACGCUUACCACGGUGUGGCCGAUGACUGGGGUGAAGUCGUAACAAGGUAGGCGUAGAUGA
rnacentral:rRNA from 1 species